CUCCUAUUGAAUCAAAGUCCCCUCCCAAGUAGCCCAGCCCUUGGGUGGACCCUUCCCUUUUGUAUCCAUUGUAAAGCAUCAGCCUCUCCUGGAGGAUCCUGUUUUGGACUUUUCAUUUCCUUGUAGCCAUGAAGUCCAAAAUUAAUUAGAAAUGAAUUUUUGGUCAUUUUGAGGGAAAGGUCUGAUCCUUUUACAAGUGAAUUUACUUAUUGAUGCAACCUAUUUUUUUUACAUCAAGAAUAUCCUCUCCCAGAGAAGGUGGCACUUCUAGACUAAGCUUUGGUGUCUUGCAUUCUUGCAAAAGGUAUCCUUCCCAAACCCCAGGGGUGCACUUCUUCACCCCCAUAACAGGAAGCAGUCCAAUUCAUCUAACUGACUUUUAAGAUACUACCUAGGCAUACAGGUAACUAGUAUAAGACUUCUUAAAAAUAUGAGUAUCAUGAAAUAUUUAAGAACUAAUACCAUCUGUUAU
rnacentral:lncRNA from 1 species